rnacentral:lncRNA from 1 species
GGUGGCCUGUGGUUUGACCCGCUCGGCUGGGGCAGCGGCUCGCCGGAGAAGAUCAAGGAGCUGCGCACCAAGGAGAUCAAGAACGGCCGCCUCGCCAUGCUCGCCGUCAUGGGCGCCUGGUUCCAGGCCGAGUACACCGGCACCGGCCCCAUCGACAACCUCUUCGCCCACCUCGCCGACCCCGGCCACGCCACCAUCUUCCAGGUCAGCUGAAUCAAUCCACAUUAUAGCAAUACCCCAUAGCUUUGAUAUAUAUACGAUUUGGUUACUGAUUGGUGAUUUUUUUUGUUGUGUUCUUGAUCAGGCCUUCACCCCGAAAUGAGGAGUUGGAGUUAGCGAUCUGAGAUUGCAACGACGCAUGCAUGGUGGUGGAGAUUGUUAGGUUGAUGGUCGAUCGAUGCGACUCUUUUUUCUUUUUGUGGGGCGGGAUAGACUGUCCAUGAUGAUUGAAUGGUUUGCGGAGCGAUGCAUGCCUGUGUGAUCCUGUACUUGUACUAUGUUGUAACCAAUGUAAAAAUGCAAUACUCGUUAGAUGCUAUGCUCUUUCACCGAAUCAACGACUUGAUGAUUUGUGCAAUGCUCGCGGUGAUGAUGUUAAUGGCGUUGUGCACUAGGUACGCGAACGCUGAUAGGUUGCCCAAGAAAAAACGUUAAGAACGCAAGUAGAAAUAUGAUGUCAGUAAUGCUCAUAUGUGGCCUUGUUGGGCCAUUUCGCCAUUGGGAUCUGGGCAUGUCUGAAGCCGAACCACAUUGAGAGAGAGAGAGAGAGAGAGAGAAAGAUGAUCGAAUUCCAAUUGAAAUUCAGAUCUACAAAUGCCAGUUAUAGAUUUUUUAAAUUAUUGGAUUGGUCCAAUAAAUUAUAAAAUAAACUAGAAUGAUAUUUUAUUUUAUAGGGGCAAUGAACUAGAGUAGUAUGAGAUCGUAAUUAAUUAGAUUCGGAUAAACAACAAUUAGCCGCGGCUCCCUUCACCCAAUUAAGUUUUUUUUUCAUGUGGCCCAAAGCAGCUUAGAGCAAACGGUGAGGAGCAAGCUUGGGAUAUCUAGGAUUUUUUUUUUUACUUUCAAGUAGACCCCAUACUAUUUUUUAUCCAAGGUUUGAUGCAAAUCUUUGGUUACACGGCUGUAUGAAUCAAAUCAACGCUUGGAGAAAGCCUACUUGAGUCGAUUUUUACGUUUUCAAUCAUUAGAGUCUUAUUUAUCUGUUAUUCGCUUAAUUUUACAUUCAAUCUUAUGAAGAUUUUCUGCAUACAAAUUUAUCGCUUUAUUCGCUAAGAAUAUGCUGCUACGUUAUUUGGUUGGGAAGACGAUGGAAAAGUAUAGCAAAACUUCUGUCGCUUCAAGUUUCGCUUAUUUUCGAAAUAUCGGCAUUACGGGGGGGUCUAACGCGAAGUUUGACCGCUCAACUUUCCCUGCAAGAAUGGAUCGCGAGACCCCAGAAGAGUAGACAGAAGACAAAGGAAGCCGAGGGGCACCAUCCCAAAAACCUGAAAGAAAUUGAAUCGAGUUGGGGAGAAAAAAAGGAAAGGGGGACGAGCACGCGCCGCCACCAGCACCGCGCCCGCCAUGGCCGCCGCCUCCUCCCGCCGCGCGUCGCAGCUGCUGGGGUCCGCCGCCUCCCGCCUCCUCCAUGCGCGGGGCUUCGCCGCGGCGGCCGCCGCCGCGCCCUCGCCGGCGGUCUUCGUCGACAAGAGCACCCGCGUGAUCUGCCAGGGCAUCACGGGGAAGAAUGGCACCUUCCACACCGAGCAGGCCAUCGAGUACGGCACCAACAUGGUACGCCUCCCCGCCGCUGCCAACCCCUGCCUAUCUCCCUCUGAUUUGCGCCCUCGAUCCGUGCGUUCCGUUCUGUGCUGCGCGAUUCUAGGGUUUGACAGAGUCCGUCAUGUCCAAUCUGGUGGGCGUGCGGUCGCCGAUCUUCAUUUCCUCGGGUCCUACGGUCUCGUUUCGCAGCCUUACGGUCCGAUCCAGAGCGAGAUACCAGCAGAUUACUCAUCUCUUAUACCCUAUAUAUUUUCUCUCUCCGUCACCAAUAAUACUUUUUACGUUUUUGGUAGUCAGUGCUGUAGCAGAUUACUCAAAGGAUAGGGUGGAGUGAGGAAUCCCCUACAUUUGUGCAAGAGGGAGGUGUGUUUUGUCGAUUACAAAAAAUAUUUUGGUACUGGUGAUGGAAUUGGUAAUCUGCUGGAGCACCUCCCAUUACUAAAAGGACAGUUUUUUGGUACUGGGGAGAGGGAUGAGUAAUCUGCUGGAGAUGCUCAGUACGCUUACCUGGAUGAUAUUGCCUUGUUGGAGGCAAAAUGUGUGCUAUUAUAAUUGCCUUUUUCUUUUCGUGGAUAGUGCUAUUAUGUGGUAUAAUGCCUGAAACUGUAAGUGAAGCAGCAGCAAUGCCUAGGUUUCAUUAUCAUUUGUUGAGUUGAUUGAAUGCUGGUGAUGAAUGUUUAUUUUCAUUGUCUAGUAGUUUUCAGCGCUGUUCACCAUGCAAUCUAGCGGCAGCAUUUGUCAGUUAGAUGGGGAUUAGUGAUUUAUGUGCUGUGACUUAAGAAAAUGUCGUCAAAGUAUACAAUGUUUUGAUGGAUUUCUUGAUGUUUUAUACGGCCAACAUGCAAAUUAAUUGGAAUUUUUUGAGGUUAUGAGAAUCAUAUCCAUCAUGAAUGCACUGAAACCUUUCAAGCUGUUUUAGUACAAUCUAACACAAAUAUCAUGUAUGAAGAUGCAAUCAUUCCUCAGUAAUGGGAUCGAAGCAAGUUUUGUUUCUUAUCUGUUUUAUGUAAAUGGGCUGCAGUCCUUACACAAGGAAAUUGUGACAUAGGAAGAAGGAAGUAAGGAAGUCAGCAUGUUGAAGUCUGUGAUGUUUGGUACGAUAGGUUCCCUGGACCUGGCAUGAUGCUUGGAGGUCUCAUCAUAUUCGAAUCUACAGUUAUAUUCUUGACUAGUAGAUUCAUAUAAUUAACUGUGCCACAACAAAAGAAUUGGCUCAGAUGCAUUUUUUUUUCAUGUCAUGUGGUGUUGUACUAGUAUUAUUAUGAAUAGUUCAAUACAGCUGAAAGGAUUCAUGCUGCACAAUUUUUUUGGGCAAUGGAUUUAUAUAUUUACGGUGUUUAAGUAAAUAAGUAUUAUAGCUUUUGAAUGUAAUAAUUUUGAUUUUUUUCUUGUAUUUUGUGGACCUCUUUUUUUAUUAAGGUCAUUUUUUUUGUUAUAACAGGUGGGUGGAGUGACUCCUAAGAAAGGUGGAACUGAACAUUUAGGGCUCCCAGUGUUUAACUCUGUAGCCGAGGCUAAGGCUGAAACAAAGGCCAAUGCAUCUGUUAUAUAUGUUCCACCACCAUUUGCCGCCGCCGCUAUAAUGGAGGCAAUGGAGGCUGAGCUCGACCUUGUUGUCUGCAUUACAGAAGGAAUUCCUCAGCAUGACAUGGUAAUUUUUGCCAUUUCAUUACUUUGUUAGUUAGAGCAUCUCCAACAGACUUUAUAUCUUUAGGAAUAGAGAUUUUGUUUAAAAAAUUACCUCCAACAGCCUCUUCAGUUGGAUAUCUAAAUAUAGACCUCCUCUACUCUGGAUUUGUCGCUAGCCAAAGAUGGAGAGCGAGAAUUGCUCUCUAGACUACGCACAAGAUAUAGAAAAGCUGUUGGAGAGUACAAAGAUAUAGAAAAUAAUUUUUACUCAAAUGACUCUCUGAUUGAUGAUUUAGAUAGUAGAUUUUAGAAAGGCUCUUGGAGAUGCUCUUACUAUCAUCCUUUGUCUUCUGAGCUUGGGAAUCUGCUCAAUACCAUAUCAUGUUUGGUUUACUUAACUGUACUUGCAAAUUACUUUUUUUUUUGGCAAAAGCAUUAGAAAAUAGUGUGAGUGUGUGGUCAACAUCAUCUUGCGCAGGUGGAUAUGUAGUAUGUUAUUAUUCUCUAGUGGGCAGGGUGAGAUCUAACUUUUGUUAAAUAAAGUAUGUGAUCCAAAGACACAGAUUUUACAAGCAUAGUCCGUUUUAGCAGUUUGCUUGCUGAUAUUCCUUUUAUGAUAUUUUUUCCCUACAUAUUGCUAUUACCUAUUAACUUGCGUCACAGCACAAUUAUUCUAUUUUACUUUGUUAAUGGAACUCCAUGAGGUGACAUCAAUGUUCCCUUUGCCAAUUUUAGGUGAAGGUGAAGGCUGCACUAAACAAGCAGUCAAAAACUCGAUUGAUUGGGCCGAAUUGCCCUGGUAUCAUUAAGCCUGGUGAGUGUAAAAUUGGUAUCAUGCCAGGUUACAUCCACAAGCCUGGGCGUGUUGGGAUCGUAUCUCGUUCUGGUACCUUGACAUAUGAAGCGGUAUGUCUGUUAUUAUUAUUUUUUUAUGUAUGCAUGUAAUCAGGUGAUUUGUUUGACUAAGUUGCAUUUGAUUUUUGUUGACAGGUGUUUCAAACAACUGCUGUAGGCUUGGGGCAGUCAACUUGUGUAGGCAUUGGUGGUGACCCAUUCAAUGGCACAAAUUUUGUUGAUUGCCUUGAAAAGUUUGUUGACGAUCCUCAGACAGAAGGUACACCUAUUGUGACUGAUUCUUCACAAUUUUAAGCAAAAAACUUUCUAAAAAGAAUAGCUGUGAACUGCGUACUCUUCUAUGUGGAAUUAAUCCCAUAUAUUUGGUAUUUUUGGCACUUGAAUGCUUCAACUACAUUAUUUGUUUUUUCAAUACUAUCUCCAUAUGCCUUUUUCAGUCAACACAGUUCCAUUCCAUUUAUGGAUUGUUCUCACUGUUGGACAAUAUUCUGUGCCUUUCAGGUAUUGUUCUCAUUGGUGAAAUUGGAGGUACUGCUGAGGAGGAUGCUGCAGCAUUCAUCCAGGUAAGAGUUUGUCAGUACCAUCAUAUAUUUAGAUUCUUUUUUUCUUCUGAAUGACAUAUUUACAUGCCAUGGUUCUGUAUUGAUUCUGCACUCUGCAACACCAUUCCCUCAUGAGCUAGUGAAGUUUCAUGCAGUUCAGUCUUGAGCACUUUUUCAGUGUCAUAGGGACACAUUUCCCAUUGUUCUUUACGGAAGGCAAUUAAGCUAGAUGCCUGGACCUUGAUUUAGCUUGAGCAUAUAUGCUUACUCAGCCCUAGCUUUAAGCUGGUCCCACAAUUCCUAUGCAAGCUCUGGGUUGUGGCCCACAUUUUCGCUAAGUAGGCCAUCUUAUCCAUCUGGUAUGUGCAUUCAGUUUAGUAAAAACCCUUGUGGCUACCUACUCUUGCCAUAGACCUAAAGUAGUUGCUAUGAACCAAAGAAGUUUCAUGUGACAUGGAGUGACUUCAUGUAUGUGGUCAGGUUAGAAGUUUAAGUAACUAACGCCCUAUGGGUUCGUUUGUCUUAUGAAGGGAGUUAUCAUUAGUUGCUGCAGACAUUACAUCUCAUAACCGCUUGUCUUCUGGCUUGGUUCUGGAACUUCUUUUUUCU